UUUUUCCAAUACUAUGUUGUUACAGGGUGGUUAACUUCGCCAGCGGCCCCCUUUCCCGGGGCAGUCCCUGCUCUCCCCUGCUAGAGGGGCACCCUAAUCCGUCACCCCAUCCGACUUCAGAAUGUAUUCGUUGGGUUCGGCAACUCACCACCAGCAUCCAACCAAAUCUAGCGGAUCAACGGCGCAUCAACUUAGUUCCUGGUCAGCUCGCAAGUUGAUAUUAUCACGUCCUACACCGUCCAUAAGAUGGGGGGCCACCUCCCAUUUCAUCACUCCUCAAACACCCGANN
rnacentral:lncRNA from 1 species